GUGCUACUACAACCGCGCUGAAAAGGUUUUAAGUAUCUUUCGGGAUCACCUGAUUGAGGGCGAGUCUGAGUUAUAAG
rfam:Viridibacillus arenosi FSL R5-213 Contig034, whole genome shotgun sequence.